UCGGAUUUGUUUAGGGUUCGUGAUGCAU
rnacentral:sRNA from 1 species